GACGAACGCUGGCGGCGCGCCUAACACAUGCAAGUCGAACGAGCGAGAGAGAGCUUGCUUUCUCAAGCGAGUGGCGAACGGGUGAGUAACGCGUGAGGAACCUGCCUCAAAGAGGGGGACAACAGUUGGAAACGACUGCUAAUACCGCAUAAGCCCACGACCCGGCAUCGGGUUGAGGGAAAAGGAGCAAUCCGCUUUGAGAUGGCCUCGCGUCCGAUUAGCUGGUUGGUGAGGUAACGGCCCACCAAGGCAACGAUCGGUAGCCGGACUGAGAGGUUGAACGGCCACAUUGGGACUGAGACACGGCCCAGACUCCUACGGGAGGCAGCAGUGGGGAAUAUUGCACAAUGGGGGAAACCCUGAUGCAGCGACGCCGCGUGGAGGAAGAAGGUCUUCGGAUUGUAAACUCCUGUUGUUGAGGAAGAUAAUGACGGUACUCAACAAGGAAGUGACGGCUAACUACGUGCCAGCAGCCGCGGUAAAACGUAGGUCACAAGCGUUGUCCGGAAUUACUGGGUUUAAAGGGAGCGUAGGUGGACUGGUAAGUCAGUUGUGAAAGUUUGCGGCUCAACCGUAAAAUUGCAGUUGAUACUGUCAGUCUUGAGUACAGUAGAGGUGGGCGGAAUUCGUGGUGUAGCGGUGAAAUGCUUAGAUAUCACGAAGAACUCCGAUUGCGAAGGCAGCUCACUGGACUGCAACUGACACUGAUGCUCGAAAGUGUGGGUAUCANACAGG
rnacentral:rRNA from 1 species